GGUUUGUACAUAUAUCGGCUAACCUGCUCACAUACGUAUUGGUGGCACUACAAUUUGAAAUACCCAAGGAAUAACAUUAUGGUCACAUUAAAACUAGCACUUUAUAUUCCACUACUAUAUUCACAAAGUAUGCCCUAAUCAUUUUUCAAACUAUGGUGCACCACGAAUGUCUAUAAUCUAUUAUGAACCUGGACCCAUUAAUUGCUCCUGGAACACCAUCUUUAACACAGUUUUGGUAACUUCGGUGGAGGUAUGGGGCUCAUACCUAUAUAUAGUGUUAGAGCAGUUU